rnacentral:misc_RNA from 1 species
CGCACAUUGCGCCCAUUAGUAUUCUAGUGGGCAUGCCUGUUCGAGCGUCAUUUCAACCCUUAAGCCCUGUUGCUUAGCGUUGGGAGCCCGCCGGCCCCGGGCCCGCGGCUCCCUAAAGUUAGUGGCGGAGUUAGCGUAUACUCUAGGCGUAGUAAUCAUCAUCUCGCCUCUGUAGCUGCGCUGGCGCCUGCCGUAAAACCCCCUAUUUUAUACUGGUUGACCUCGGAUCAGGUAGGAAUACCCGCUGAACUUAA